rnacentral:rRNA from 1 species
CGCGUAAGAAUCUACAUUUAGGUAAGGAAUAACAAUUGGAAACGAUUGCUAAUACUUUAUAAGCUGAGAAGUGAAAGGUCUAACUGCCUAAAAUAGAGCUUGCGUCUGAUUAGCUAGUUGGUGAGGUAAUAGCUUACCAAGGCAUCGAUCAGUAGUUGGUCUGAGAGGAUGAUCAACCACACUGGGACUGAGAUACGGCCCAGACCUCUACGGAGGGCAGCAGUGAGGAAUUUUCCGCAAUGGGCGAAAGCCUGACGGAGCAAUACCGCGUGAAGGACGACGGCCUGUGGGUUGUAAACU